CCAGUAUGUGUGGAGCCGUCCUUGAAAUACCACCCUUGUAGUGUUGAUGUUCUAACGUUGACCCCUAAUCGGGGUUGCGGACAGUGCCUGGUGGGUAGUUUGACUGGGGCGGUCUCCUCCCAAAGAGUAACGGAGGAGCACGAAGGUGGGCUAAUCACGGUUGGACAUCGUGAGGUUAGUGCAAUGGCAUAAGCCCGCUUGACUGCGAGAAUGACAAUUCGAGCAGGUGCGAAAGCAGGUCAUAGUGAUCCGGUGGUUCUGAAUGGAAGGGCCAUCGCUCAACGGAUAAAAGGUACUCCGGGGAUAACAGGCUGAUACCGCCCAAGAGUUCAUAUCGACGGCGGUGUUUGGCACCUCGAUGUCGGCUCAUCACAUCCUGGGGCUGAAGUCGGUCCCAAGGGUAUGGCUGUUCGCCAUUUAAAGUGGUACGCGAGCUGGGUUUAGAACGUCGUGAGACAGUUCGGUCCCUAUCUGCCGUGGGCGUUGGAAGAUUGAAGGGGGCUGCUCCUAGUACGAGAGGACCGGAGUGGACGAACCUCUGGUGUUCGGGUUGUGUCGCCAGACGCAUUGCCCGGUAGCUAAGUUCGGAAUCGAUAACCGCUGAAAGCAUCUAAGCGGGAAGCGAGCCCUGAGAUGAGUCUUCCCUGAUACUUUAAGUAUCCUAAAGGGUUGUCGGAGACUACGACGUUGAUAGGUCAGGUGUGUAAGUGCUGUGAGGCAUUGAGCUAACUGAUACUAAUUGCCCGUGAGGCUUAACCAU
rnacentral:rRNA from 1 species